rnacentral:misc_RNA from 1 species
UCGAUCGUGUGAUGUCUGCUUCUGUCAAUUCUCGGCUUCUCGCGGUCGUCUGAAAAGUGAAAAAUGAAUUAGCCCCUCGAAUAGCUAGUUGUUGUUGAUUCCGAAUUUGACAAAAUGGACUUAAUAGAAAAUAUGACAUUUCGAACACCAAAACAAAAAGCUUUGGUGUUACAACUUUAUAAAGAUCUUAAAUUCGUUAGGGGGAACGAAGAUGUGAAGAUACAUCAGUGUGAUGAGUUGGAUUUAGUGUACAUUACAGGAUACUUGCCUGAUGCUGAGAGACAACAGGAAAUCUUUUUGCCAUUAGCUGCAGAUGAAGCAAUUUCAAUGAAAAAAAUAGGAGAAGUUCAAAAAUGUCUGUUUCAUCGACACAAAUCAUCAAGACUGACUUUGGCACUAAUGGAUUCUGAUUCCACUACUGUUUAUUUUGGUGUAACACCUGGCUUAUUACCUCCAUCAGAUUUGGAGGGAGUCUUGUAUAGAAAACUUUCAAAUCACACUCACAGCAUCGUGUCGCCCAGUCUCAUCUCUAGAAUGCAUUCCAUGUCAUUUAUUACAGCCCCAAACGAAGAAGUGGCCAAAACUAUUGCCCGAGGUCUUGUUUCUGAAAAACUGGCUGCUUGUGUCAACAUAAUUCCAAAGAUCACAUCUGUGUACAGUUGGGAAGGAAAAGUUAAUGAAGAUUCAGAAGUCUUGAUGAUGGUGAAAACCAGAACUUCGAGACUACCAGAGCUAACAGAAUAUGUCAAAAAGAACCAUCCUUAUGAAGUUUGUGAAGUAAUUUCCACUGAGAUCUUACAAGGGAACAAACCAUAUUUGGAUUGGAUUUUAGAAUCUGUACCUGAAAAGGCCGAGUAAAUACUAUUGUCAUUAGGUUUUCUUCUUUUCGUCAGCCGUUAGUGCAGAACUACAAUUCCACUUCCGGAUGUCCCUUUUCUUCUGGAAUAACCCUGUCGCCUGCCCUUCUAUGUGUUCGCUAUCUGCGGCUACCUUUAUGAAUAGUUUGGGCGUGUUCGUCGUCGCCAUAUUCCACGUAAUCUACCAAUUCAGUUCCGAAGCUUUUUAAUAUUUCCACUAAAAAACCGCCUAGUUCCUCGUCGUUUGGGUCAGCUGCUGCUGCUCUUUUGCAUUCU